rnacentral:ncRNA from 1 species
GCCCUCAGUAAGAUUACACAUGCAAGCAUCCACGACCCUGUGAAAAUGCCCUCCACCAAAACAUGAGGAGCGAGUAUCAAGCACGCAAACAUGCAGCUCAAGACACUUUGCUUAGCCACACCCCCACGGGAGACAGCAGUGACAAACUUUUAGCAAUAAACGAAAGUUUAACUAAGCUAUACUGACUAUUAGAGUUGGUCAAUUUCGUGCCAGCCACCGCGGCCAUACGAUUGACUCAAGUUAAUAGAGCACGGCGUAAAGGGUGUUUAAGAUUUUAUUAACUCAAAUAAAGCUAACCUAUAACUAAGUCGUAGAAAACCCCAGUUACAGUAAAAUAAACUACGAAAGUGGCUUUAAUAUUCUGAAUACACUACAGCUAAGGUACAAACUGGGAUUAGAUACCCCACUAUGCUUAGCCUUAAACCUUAAUAAUUCAAUUAACAAAAUUAUUCGCCAGAACACUACAAGCAACAGCUUGAAACUCAAAGGACCUGGCGGUGCUUUACAUCCGUCUAGAGGAGCCUGUUCUAUAAUCGAUACACCCCGAUACACCUCACCACCUCUUGCCCUCAGCCUGUAUACCGCCAUCUUCAGCAAACUCCUUAAUGAUCGCAAAGUAAGCAGAAGUGUCAUCAUAAAAACGUUAGGUCAAGGUGCAGCCAAUGAGGUGGGAAGAAAUGGGCUACAUUUUCUACCCCAGAAAAUUACACGAUACCCCUUAUGAAACCUAAGGGCCCAAGGUGGAUUUAGCAGUAAACCAAGAAUAGAGAGCUUGAUUGAAACAAGGCCAUUAAGCACGCACACACCGCCCGUCACCCUCCUCAAACACCACACAAAAGUACAUUAACAAUAAAAUACUAAAAACUGGUAUAGAGGGGAUAAGUCGUAACAUGGUAAGCGUACUGGAAAGUGCGCUUGGACAAAC